rnacentral:rRNA from 1 species
AAAAGCUCGUAGUUGGAUCUCAGCUCCGGCCGGACGGUCCGCCUACCGGUGGUCACUGUUCGCUGCCGAGCGUUCAGGGGACUCGUCUCGCUUAUCUUUACCGGUUGCCGAGUCGAUUCCUCRCGUUUACUUUGAAAAAAUUAGAGUGCUCAAAGCAGGCGCGACGCCUGAAUAAUUGUGCAUGGAAUAAUGGAAUAGGACCUCGGUUCUAUUUUGUUGGUUUUCGGAACACGAGGUAAUGAUURAGAGGGACAGACGGGGGCAUUCGUAUUGCGACGCUAGAGGUGAAAUUCUUGGACCGUCGCAAGACGAACUACUGCGAAAGCAUUUGCCAAGAAUGUUUCCAUUAAUCAAGAACGAAAGUUAGAGGUUCGAAGGCGAUCAGAUACCGCCCUAGUUCUAACCAUAAACGAUGCCAGCCAGCGAUCCGGCUGUGUUCCUCAAAUGACACGCCGGGCAGCUUCCGGGAAACCAAAGCUUUUGGGUUCCGGGGGAAGUAUGGUUGCAAAGCUGAAACUUAAAGGAAUUGACGGAAGGGCACCACCAGAAAUGGAGCCUGCGGCUUAAUUUGACUCAACACGGGAAAACUUACCCGGCCCGGACACAGGAAGGAUUGACAGAUUAAGAGCUCUUUCUUGAUUCUGUGGGUGGUGGUGCAUGGCCGUUCUUAGUUGGUGGGGCGACUUGUCUGGUUAAUUCCGAUAACGAACGAGACUCUAGCCUACUAAAUAGGCGUUCCCAUCCUCUUGUAGUGGGACGUUCUUCUUAGAGGGACAAGCGGCGUUUAGCCGCACGAGACAGAGCAAUAACAGGUCUGGGAUGCCCUUAGAUGUCCGGGGCCGCACGCGCGCUACAUUGAAGGAAUCAGCGUGUGCUUUCCCUGUCCGAGAGGACUGGGUAACCCGUUGAACCUCCUUCGUGCUGGGGAUUGGAAAAGUGKAAUUGAUUCCAUGAACGAGGAAUUCCCAGUAAGCWCGAGUCAUCAYCUCGUGUUGAUUACGUCCCUGCCCUUUGUCCACACCGCCCGUCGCUACUACCGAUUGAAUGAUUUAGUGAGGUCUUCGGACUGGCGCUCGGAUUGGCCUUCGCGGUCGAGCCGGUGUGCCGGAAAGAUGACCAAACUUGAUCAUUUAGAGGAAGUAAAAGUCGUAACAAGGUUUU